UUCCUGCCUUAGCAGAAUGACCAGAGAACCAGUAACAAACUCAAUGGGGACGGCGGGCCUUGCCCAACGUGCCCAGACGCUUGGAUGGCACGGGCGCCUAAGGCGCUCGGGCUUUUUCUCGGCGGCACAACGAACCCCGGCGCGGAAUGCGCCAAGGAACUUUAACAAGAGAGCGAUGCUCCUGCCACCCCAGACAUGGUGCGUGCGUGGGAUGCCAUGCAAUCUCCUAUUUAUUCAUAACGACUCUCGGCAACGGAUAUCUCGGCUCUCGCAUCGAUGAAGAACGUAGCGAACUGCGAUACUUGGUGUGAAUUGCAGAAUCCCGUGAACCAUCGAGUCUUUGAACGCAAGUUGCGCCCGAAGCUUGCUAGGGCACGUUUGCCUGGGUGUCACACACGGCGUUGCCCCUAACCCCUCGCCUUGAAUUGGGCGUGCGGGACUUGGGUGCGUAUGUUGGCCUCCCGAGACGACCUCGUCCCGGUUGGCCCAAAAUCGAGCGUUGGAGCGAUUAGCACCACGACAUUCGGUGGUUGAUGAAAUCCCAGCGAUCAAUGUCGCGCGUGUCGCUCAUGCAAUCGCUCCAUGAAUCUACUUUUCACCAACGCGACCCCAGGUCAAGCGGGGCUACCCGCU
rnacentral:rRNA from 1 species